ensembl:lncRNA
GCGCUGCAUAGAAGACCAGAAGGGGAAUCGAGGGCUGAGAUCAUGGAAGAGGUAAUUAUAUAUACACUUUGGAGCCUUGCUCGUCCUCCAGAGAUCAAGACCAGCGCACACAGAGACCAAAGAAACUCCUAGUUUGAUGUUAAAUACUAUUUAUUGCAGAUCAAACACAGAUGCACACUUAUCACUCACACCAUCAGCUCCAGCAGGCGCAGAGCUGAAGGUGUUUACAGCUUCAUGUCAGGACGCGCCUGACCUGUCGCACUCAAUUUCUCUCACUCACUUACUUACUUUCUCACACACACAUACACGCAACGAAACGUGAGCUCAUGUAUUUAUUAACUCACUCACACAGUCAGUCAAUCAUUUGGCAGACUCGAAAAGUGAUAAUCCCAGUCGCAGUAAGUCAGUCAAACAACCUGGAGGGCUGAUGAAAGGGAGGGAAACCGAUCUGAAAACGUACAAAACAGUAAAGAGAGCAAACCAACAACCUGUACAGGUGUUUAAAAACAUGCUGCGGAUAAAAUAAAAUCUCUUUGGAUUUGAAUACAGACAUAAUUUUUGGGGUUGAUGGGCGGAGAAGUUCGACUCCUGCAAAUCCCCUGCAUUUUGGAGGAAGCUCUAAAAGGCAGUAAAAAGUAGCAAAGGAUUGGAUUGUUUUGAAUAUUUUAAAUAAAUCCCUUCUGAUGUCUUUGGUUUGAAGUAAAGUUAAAGUAAAAACAGUUUCCUGUGUGGUUCAGUCAGAGCAUAUAUGUCUUCUCAAACUUUCUGACUUAAAUCAAAGCACUUAUAACCCUUCAUAAGAGGCAGACUUCAUCUUGAUGAUGUGAAAGUAUUCAGAUUUUCACACGGAAAAGCAAAAAGCUACAGAAAAGUCCAGCAAAACUGCUCAAAACUGUUGAUAUGAUGUUUAACUGUUCAUUUGGUGGGUGUAAGUAUUUCCAACUUUGCUACUCUUUAGUAAAAUUGACCCUGUUGAAGUUACACACACUGCAGUACCAGGAUACACAGGGAGGCCUGAACACCCUGAGCUGUUAUCAUUACCGGCAGGUUUCACAUACAGACUGUAUAGAAAGAUGGACAACAUGCAGCAGUCUCUGAGGGAUUUGAUUUGUGAUCAAGAUCAGGCAGCAAAUCAGUUCAGAGACACGGAAGCGGUUCUUAAGCCUUGUGUUUUUUUGCAUUUGAGCCAUCUUCAUCUUCAUUUUUUUGGAGCUAGAAGUCACCAUAUUCAGAUGAGAUGGUGCACUGUAUCCACAGACUGUACGGGGGCAAUUUAAAGACUCAUACCUGCUAUUUAGAAUACUAGAACUUCACUUGCUAAAGCUGGAGCACAGGUUUCUUUGCACAGGCUUUUAGCACAGUUAACAGCACAGCAAGCAAGGUUAUCAGUGCAUAAAAAUGCCCCCAAUAACACCAAACUGAAAGGCUCAAUAUAGUUCAAGUAGGUGCUUUAUUGAAAUGGUACCCCAUGUACAGCUGUCUUAAAUGGGUAUGGUUGCUAUAGAGAAUAAAAGAGGCUGUAAACAUGCUUAUUUCUGCUGUGAAGUUGGAACUUUUCAGCCAUCUAGACAGAGCAGAGAGAGCAGCCGCAAAUAAUGCUGAACUAGAAAGCCAUAAGCUGAAGAUUUUCCACUUUUCCACAAUAUUUUCUAGAUUUUGUACAAUGGAAGAAAGUUGUGACACGAUGCCCAUCUUCUACAUACAGCCUGUGUUUUUAGACACCAGGACUCUCCACUCUGCCGGACUUGACGCAGCAGUAGACAUCCCAUUAAAGCUUAUCGUCUCAGCAGGACCCGACGACACUCGUACACACAAAAACAAUCAAACCGGAAGAAUAAAUGGCAAAAACCUCAACAAAUUAAAGCAAUAAAUACUAAGCACACAGUGCCAAAUCUUAAAACUUUACAGCUCGCCUCUAGUCUUUGACUUCUCCUCUUCCUCCACCUCAUAUGUUACAUGCUUUAUCUCCUUCCUCAUCCUGAAGCCUUCAUGCUCUUUACACCUUUACAAACAUCUUUCUUCUCACUUACUCGAACCUUACUCGUGGCUUAAAAAAGAAAAAAAAAAGAAAAAUGCUGAGCGCACACACAUGCUACAGUACAGAUCAGCAGGUUUCAGAUUCCUCAUUUAGCUAUGCGUGAUCAAAUCAAAACAAAGUAAAAUCACAGUGAACAGACGCACACAGAAUCACAUCUAUACAUCAGUAGUGACCCAGCGGCCGUUUGGUGUCCAGCAUCGUGAUUGGUUGAUUGGGAAGAGGAGCUCUUCCCCUCCCCGUCGGCUAAAAACGAAUAUCUGAAGAUGUACUCAGUCAGUCUUCUUUGGCCGUGAUGAAACAUGACUCCACCUGAGGGACAGGCCAACCAAUGAAAAGUUACCGAGGCAUGUAGGAACGGUAAAGCGCUGACACACGUUAUCACUUUAUGCUCUUUAAUCUGUUCGGCCGUGAUUCAUCUGUUUAUGUUAACCAAUUACAAUCUGCUAAA